AGGCCUUUUACAGACUCCAAAUAGAUGGUCCUGAGCUGCUACUGUCAUUGUCACCAUGAUCCUGGAGACACAGCCUGUAGCUCUGUGGAAGUAAACUUCUAAAACCUGUCUCUUCUGAGAGUUACUGCAUGAAAACAGGCAAGGAUGGGUCAAGUUUUGGAGCAGCAGCCCAAGUUCCACCAACCGCCCUGUUAUACAGAGGCUUCUAAGCUAUGCAGAGUGCUAUGAAGGGUUUAUUCUUCUUUUGCCCACCUGACUGAUAUACUGAUGUACUUUUUGAAGAAGGGCUGUGGAAUUUACCUGGACUUCACUGUGGUCUUGAUGUGGCUGAAGUGUUUCGUUGAAGGCUCUUUAGUCCUGUACUUAUUUAGAUUGACUCUCACUUCUGGUCCCUUUUUGUGGUGCAGACUAGAGCCUCAAACUCUGUAAAAGACAAUGGCUUGUCUCAUGAAGAGAAGUGACCAACUGUUAAUAAGCUUUAUCCAAAGAGGGUCGUGGAAAACAAGAAAAUGCAAAAGUGAGUUUCUCUUCAAUUUCAUAUGCAAUUAACAAAUAUCCAGAGCUGACUGAUUGGUGCUCCUCUUCCAUGUGACUUUUGGCUGGCUGUAUUUAAGGAUCAUCACUCCAUUCAGAAGGCUAAUGCUGUGUGCUGAGAACAGAAAGGAGAUGGAGGAUUGGAUCAGCUCACUGAAGUCUGUACAGACCAGAGAACCCUACGAGGUGGCCCAGUUUAAUGUGGAACAUUUCUCAGGGAUGCACAACUGGUACGCCUGCUCCCACGCCCGACCCACCUUCUGUAACGUGUGCAGAGAGAGUCUUUCUGGAGUCACCUCCCAUGGCCUGUCCUGCGAAGUGUGUAAAUUCAAGGCUCACAAAAGAUGUGCAGUGAGAGCAACAAAUAACUGUAAAUGGACUACCCUGGCCUCCAUCGGGAAGGACAUUAUAGAAGAUGAAGAUGGCGUCGCGAUGCCUCACCAGUGGCUCGAGGGCAACCUGCCUGUAAGUGCCAAGUGUGCUGUCUGCGACAAAACAUGCGGCAGUGUUCUCCGCCUACAGGAUUGGAAAUGCCUUUGGUGUAAGACAAUGGUACACACUGCCUGCAAAGAUUUAUACCAUCCAAUAUGUCCACUUGGUCAAUGUAAAGUAUCUAUCAUACCUCCAAUUGCACUAAACAGCACCGAUUCCGAUGGUUUCUGUAGAGCAACAUUUUCGUUCUGUGUUAGUCCUCUAUUGGUUUUUGUCAAUUCUAAGAGUGGAGAUAAUCAGGGAGUAAAGUUCCUUCGUCGCUUUAAACAGUUGCUAAAUCCGGCUCAGGUGUUUGAUUUAAUGAAUGGAGGUCCUCAUUUAGGUUUAAGAUUAUUUCAGAAGUUUGACAAUUUCCGGAUUCUUGUUUGUGGAGGCGAUGGAAGUGUAGGUUGGGUUUUGUCAGAAAUUGAUAAGCUCAACUUGAAUAAACAGUGUCAGCUGGGAGUGUUGCCUUUGGGUACAGGAAAUGACCUUGCCCGAGUUCUUGGCUGGGGAGGUUCAUAUGACGAUGACACCCAACUUCCUCAGAUCCUAGAGAAACUGGAACGAGCCAGUACCAAAAUGUUGGACAGGUGGAGUAUAAUGACAUAUGAACUCAAAUUGCCACCAAAAGCUUCCCUACUUCCAGGACCUCCAGAAGCAUCUGAAGAAUUUUAUAUGACAAUUUAUGAAGACUCAGUUGCAACACAUCUUACAAAAAUCCUCAAUUCUGAUGAACAUGCAGUGGUCAUAUCUUCUGCCAAGACGCUAUGUGAAACUGUAAAGGACUUCGUUGCCAAAGUAGAAAAGACGUAUGACAAAACCUUGGAAAAUGCCGUUGUAGCUGAUGCCGUGGCCAGUAAAUGUUCAGUCCUAAAUGAGAAGCUCGAACAACUGCUGCAGGCUUUGCACACAGAUUCCCAGGCUGCGCCUGUUCUCCCUGGCCUCAGCCCUCUCAUUGUGGAAGAAGAUGCUGUGGAAUCGUCCAGUGAAGAGUCCCUGGGUGAAAGCAAAGAACAGCUCGUGGAUGACGUUACAAAACCUUCCUCCCAGAAAGCUGUCAAACCAAGGGAAAUCAUGUUGCGGGCAAAUAGUUUAAAGAAAGCAGUGAGGCAAGUCAUUGAGGAAGCCGGAAAAGUUAUGGAUGACUCGACAGUUCACCCCUGUGAACCAGCUAAUCAGUCCUCUGAUUAUGACAGCACAGAAACAGAUGAAUCUAAGGAGGAAGCUAAAGAUGAUGGUGCCAAAGAAUCAUUAACUGUUAAAACUGCACCUCGGUCUCCAGAUGCCCGGGCAAGUUAUGGCCAUUCCCAAACUGAUUCUGUCCCUGGUCCAGCUGUGGCAGCCAGCAAAGAAAACCUCCCUGUGCUCAAUACCAGAAUAAUCUGCCCAGGCAAUGAUUUCUUAGAUAUGACAAGCACACGCCACAAAAGACAAAUAAAUUGAACUUUACCAAAAUUAAUAGUUUUGUGAUUCAAAGGACACUAUCGAGAAAGUGAAAUGACAAUUUAAGAAUUUACAAAUAAUAUAUCUGAUAAAGGAGUAGUAUCCAGAACAUAUAAAGAACCCUUAAAAUUCAACAAUAAAAAGGUUUAAGAGCAGGACUGGCUGCCUCAAUUGCUGGGAGUUCGAUUAUCAACAAAAUGUUACUGGCAAACAUUGAUCCUUUUGGUGCCACGCCGUUUAUUGAUCCAGAUCCAGAUUCCAGAUGGAUAUUCAGAAAAAUGUGUCAUGAACAAUUACUUUGGGAUUGGAUUAGAUGCAAAAAUUUCAUUAGAAUUUAAUAAUAAAAGAGAGGAGCACCCUGAAAAAUGCAGGAGCCGAACUAAAAACUUGAUGUGGUAUGGAGUCCUUGGAACCCGGGAGUUAUUACAGAGAUCGUACAAGAAUUUAGAACAAAGGGUUCAACUUGAGUGCGAUGGGCAGUAUAUUCCUCUUCCCAGCUUGCAAGGCAUAGCCGUGUUGAACAUUCCCAGCUAUGCUGGAGGCACUAACUUUUGGGGUGGAACUAAAGAGGAUGAUAUAUUUGCUGCACCAUCCUUUGAUGACAAGAUCCUGGAAGUUGUAGCAAUAUUUGAUAGCAUGCAAAUGGCAGUUUCAAGGGUCAUUAAACUGCAGCAUCAUCGAAUAGCCCAGUGCCGUACGGUGAAAAUCACUAUAUUUGGUGAUGAAGGAGUCCCAGUGCAAGUGGAUGGUGAAGCAUGGGUUCAGCCUCCAGGGAUUAUCAAAAUUGUGCACAAAAACAGAGCACAAAUGCUAACAAGGGACAGAGCCUUUGAGAGCACUCUGAAAUCUUGGGAAGAUAAGCAGAAGUGUGAUUCUGGUAAACCAGUUCUCCGAACCCAUUUGUACAUCCAUCACGCCAUUGACUUGGCAACAGAAGAGGUGUCGCAGAUGCAGCUGUGCUCCCAGGCUGCAGAGGAGCUCAUUACUAGGAUCUGUGACGCAGCCACAAUUCACUGUCUUUUGGAGCAAGAACUGGCCCAUGCUGUGAAUGCCUGCUCCCAUGCCCUGAAUAAAGCCAACCCAAGGUGCCCGGAGAGUCUUACAAGAGACACUGCCACUGAAAUAGCCAUCAAUGUGAAGGCGCUGUAUAAUGAAACAGAAUCUUUGCUAGUUGGCAGGGUUCCUUUGCAGCUGGAAUCGCCACAUGAAGAGCGGGUAUCCAAUGCCUUACACUCUGUGGAGGUGGAAUUACAGAAACUCACAGAGAUUCCUUGGCUUUAUUAUAUCUUACACCCAAAUGAGGAUGAGGAACCUCCUAUGGAUUGCACCAAAAGAAACAACAGAAGCACCGUAUUUCGAAUAGUGCCAAAGUUUAAAAAGGAAAAGGUUCAGAAGCAGAAGACAAGUUCACAGCCUGGACCUGGGGAUACCGAAAGUGGGCCAUGUGAAGCGAAUUCUCCAGGGAAUUAAAGAGCUUGGGAGGAGCACUCCACAGUCGGAGGUGUAAUCAUAUUGGUGCUAUUCCUUGGAAGAGAAGUUAUUGCCACUUAAUACAAAGUCCUUGGAAGCAAGUGGCUGUUCUUGUGGUUUUCUGCAUAGAUAAAGGAUAUAUAUGGGUUCGAGAUGGUCACCUGCUUGUCUAGGAAUCCAAGGGACAACUUCAAUUCCUUUAGGAGUUUCCUUUACAGAAAACUGCGUGGUGGGAAUCCAGGCCAAUACAGAAAGGAUCAACAAGCUGAUGAAUGAGUCUCAAAUGUUGGUGACAGCUCUCAAUCCUCGUAUAGGGUAUGACAAGGCAGCAAAGAUUGCUAAGACAGCACACAAAAAUGGAUCAACCUUAAAGGAAACUGCUAUUGAACUUGGCUAUCUCACACCAGAACAGUUUGACGAAUGGGUAAAAACUAAGGACAUGCUGAGUCCAAAGUGAUUUAAGUAAAUUUAUAAUGAAAAUAAACGUGUAUAUAAUUUAA
rnacentral:sRNA from 1 species